AUCGCUUCUCGGCCUAUUGGCUAAGAUCAAAGUGUAGUAUCUGUUCUUAUUAGCUUGAUAUCUAAUAGACUCCCUAUCAGGGAGUCAAGAAUAUCGAACAGAUUUUUUGACAAUGGCGAAGUGUCUGGGGCUUGCUCCGACUUCGCCGCGAGUCGACCUUGCAUUGCAUUACCGCAAGGAACGGCUCACUUUAU
rnacentral:snRNA from 1 species